rnacentral:rRNA from 1 species
UGGGGAAUUUGGACAAUGGGCGAAAGCCUGAUCCAGCAAUGCCGCGUGUGUGAAGAAGGCCUUCGGGUUGUAAAGCACUUUUGUCCGGAAAGAAAUCCUUGGCUCUAAUACAGUCGGGGGAUGACGGUACCGGAAGAAUAAGCACCGGCUAACUACGUGCCAGCAGCCGCGGUAAUACGUAGGGUGCAAGCGUUAAUCGGAAUUACUGGGCGUAAAGCGUGCGCAGGCGGUUUGCUAAGACCGAUGUGAAAUCCCCGGGCUCAACCUGGGAACUGCAUUGGUGACUGGCAGGCUAGAGUAUGGCAGAGGGGGGUAGAAUUCCACGUUAGCAGUGAAAUGCGUAGAGAUGUGGAGGAAUACCGAUGGCGAAGGCAGCCCCCUGGGCAAUACUGACGCUCAUGCACGAAAAGCGUGGGGAGCAAACAGGAUUAGAUACCCUGGUAGUCCACGCCCUAAAACGAUGUCAACUAGUUGUUGGGGAUUCAUUUCCUUAGUAACGUAGCUAACGCGUG